AAUGAAGUGUCCAAGAGUAUGCAGGAUACUAUAAGAAACAUUACGUGUCAAAAUGUCAAAAUGACAGCUGACCAUAGGAAAUUUGAAAGUUAAAUUUAUACAGAUUGGAGUGGAAAUGAAGUGUCCAAGUGUAUGUCAAAAUGACAGCUGUUUGUAGACGUUUUGAUAGUUAGAAAAUGUCAAUGUUUGAGUGUGUAAAUAUCAUGAAAGUCCACCCGCGUUGAUAAUUGGGUGGACAAACAAGCAUGCGAAGAAUCCCGGAUCGAUAUUACCGCAAACACACACACAUCUUAUAAUCUGUUUGCUCUGUGUUUUAUGGUGUGUGUGUGUUGUGUUGCUGACGAUGUGACGUAAGGUCCUUCACAAAUUAAGGAGCGAACAGCAGCAGGGAGAUGUCAAUGUUUACGGAGCGAAAAUCGAAGAUAAUACCAUCUAUUUCGAAUUCAUUUCAAGGUGCGCGUGCGUAACAGCUGAGAAAGUUAAAAUAUCAUUGUCAAGGUGCAACCGUUUGACACGAAGCCGAAGUAAUAUGCCAAAUUUCUUGGAAUUGGCGUGCAGCGCUGCUACUGCUGCCCCCCUGACCUGGGUCAACUCAGACUACGACGACGACGGCGGCGGCGGCAACGGAUCACCAGUUGCAUUAGGUCUCUCUCUUUCGCUCUGUUACGAUCAUAUCUUCCAGUGUAUUUACCAAGAUUAUCUUAAAUUGAUCCAGGAUUAUAACUGGUAGGCAGUCGCGUUGACCAACUCGCGGAUCCAGUUUUGCACAACAACGACCAUCAUUGCCGGCGAGUUACGCAACGACGCGCGCGCCCUCUUCGACAUAAACAAAUUGGAUACCAUGGUUACUACUCCCAAUCCAUCGAUCGCUUCGAUCUUAUUUUAUUCUCUCUUUUUCUCUCGACGCUCGAAUCGAUAAUAUUUUCUCAGCGAUAAUAUGCACACAAACACACAUGAAAAGGAAGAAAAAGGCGAAGAAUAAAUAAAAUAAGGUAGCGCUAAUAGUUGCUGUUGUUGUUGUUACAGUUGUGCAAAUAUUGGAAAGAGAGGUGAAAAAUGUUUUAGGUCAUACGCGGCUGGAAAUAACUAGUUUUCUGAGCGCAAUAAAACCGUUCGGUCUGCCUCUACGCUUCUGCUACCUAUGCCAAGCGACUGAACAACAACAACAGAGACUCUGUAACACAAAAUUCGUCUAUUCAAUCUCAAUAAUCUUAGAAGAUUGAUGCACUUGACGAGAAGGAAGCGACAGAAACAGAUUUCCUACCUUCAAUUUUAACGAUUCCUCCUUCUCAAGACACCGACCGACUGCUUCGACGACGAGGAUAAACCGGACGGAUUAAAAACCGGACUGCGCGCAUAAACCGGAUAGAAGAAACCGUCCUAUAACAAACGGAAAACGUAUCAAUCCACAAGAAGAUAUUCACUGCAACAUUUCCAAAUAUCUUAUCUUAAAUAUAAAUUUGUAUACAGUCUCAGAGAUGCGCAUCGUUUACAUUUAUUU